GCCGCUAUGGUGAAAUCGGUAGACACGCUGCUCUUAGGAAGCAGUGCUAGAGCAUCUCGGUUCGAGUCCGAGUAGCGGCGGUUCGAGUCCGAGUAGCGG
rnacentral:tRNA from 1 species